GACGAACGCUGGCGGCGUGCUUAACACAUGCAAGUCGAACGGUGACGAGGAGCUUGCUCCUCUGAUCAGUGGCGAACGGGUGAGUAACACGUGGGAAUCUGCCCUUUGCUUCGGAAUAACAGUUAGAAAUGACUGCUAAUACCGGAUAAUGUCUUCGGACCAAAGAUUUAUCGGCAAAGGAUGAGCCCGCGUAGGAUUAGCUUGUUGGUGAGGUAAAGGCUCACCAAGGCGACGAUCCUUAGCUGGUCUGAGAGGAUGAUCAGCCACACUGGGACUGAGACACGGCCCAGACUCCUACGGGAGGCAGCAGUGGGGAAUAUUGGACAAUGGGCGAAAGCCUGAUCCAGCAAUGCCGCGUGAGUGAUGAAGGCCUUAGGGUUGUAAAGCUCUUUUACCAGGGAUGGAUAAUGACAGUACGCGUAGGAAGUAAGUAACGUCCGUCCGGUAACUAACCCGUUCCGGUCCGACCGACCGACGACCGGCCCGGGUAAACGGUAAAGGUAAGGUAACGAACGUUACG
rnacentral:rRNA from 1 species